AAACUAACAAGGAUUCCCCUAGUAACGGCGAGUGAAGUGGGAAAAGCUCAACUUUGAAAUCUGGCAGCUUCGCUGUCCGAGUUGUAGUCUCGAGAAGUGUUUUCCGCGCUGGAACAUGUAUGAGUCUGUUGGAACACAGCGUCAUAGAGGGUGAGAACCCCGUUCAUGACAUGCCUCCCAGUGCUUUGUGAUACACUUUCGAUGAGUCGAGUUGUUUGGGAAUGCAGCUCAAAUUGGGUGGUAAAUUCCAUCUAAAGCUAAAUAUUGGGGAGAGACCGAUAGCAAACAAGUACCGUGAGGGAAAGAUGAAAAGCACUUUGGAAAGAGAGUUAAAAGUACGUGAAAUUGUUGAAAGGGAAACGCUUGAAGUCAGACGUGCGCAGCUUCGGCUAAUGCAGGCUAGCAUCGGUUUUGCGAGUCGGAUAAAGGUAAGAGGAAGGUGGCAGCUUCGGCUGUGUUAUAGCCUCUUACUGAAUACGAAUUGCGAGACCGAGGAAUGCAGCGCGCCGCAAGGCAAAGGUUCGCCCUUUUCGCGCUUAGGAUGCUGGUGAAAUGGCUUUAAACGAC
rnacentral:rRNA from 1 species